CAGUGCAAGCCUGAGAGAGCAGCAGCGCAAGCCUGAGAGAGCAGCAGCGCAAGCCCGAGAGAGCAGCAGUGCAAGGUGCAGGCGCUUCGCUGGGCCCCUCAGCCGGGAACCACACCUCGGACCUCGGACCUCGGACCUCAAGCCCAGAGCCACCUUCCCCACUCGGCUCGUCGCCCGCUUCCCCACCCUGAAGUGCUGACUCCUCUGCACGUUUUGAGGGGUGCUUCCCAAAGUGAAGAUCCGAGGUCAUGCUGGGACCUUCUGUUCUGGACACCACUGCAUCAUGCCUGCAAAGCUUUCAGUUCUCUGUCAAGGAGUCCUGACCAACCACGGAGGAGAAAGUCUUCAGUUUGGUGCCUCUAUGUCUUUGGCAUCCCUACACACUUGCUGGUCACCCAUUUUGGCAAAGAGAGAGCAGACGGCACGAGGACUGGCUCCCCUGACCUCCCGUGGCAUUGUGUACACGGAGAUGCUAACCCAGCCCCAUCCUGCAUCCCACCGAGUCCUGGGAGAGAGGCCCUCCUGCGUGUAUGUCAAGGAAGGCUCCCGAGACGGGGUUCACGUCGGGGCUGGAGACGGGGCUUCUCUCUCCCUGUCCCACACUGCCUGCAAGGCUGUGGGGGCUGCAGCCCCUCCCGGCCUCCCCUUGAACCUCAUCCUGAGGUUCUCCUCCCUUUCCACCGACCAGCCACCCCGCCCCUUCUAGGGCUCGCACACGCAUGCCACGCUCGUUUCCACUUUGCACUGACUCCUUCUGGUACCUGGGAAUGCUCUUCCCUCCUUCUCAUUUUCCAGUUUCAGUUUAAAUAUAACCCCAAAGAGAAGGCCUUUCCUCACCCCCCACCCCCUGCCACUGACAGCACGUGCUUCCUGUUGUCCCCACCCCUGCAUUUUCCUCUUUUCUUUAAUAACACUUAUCUCAGUGUAUAA